GAUGAACGCUAGCGGGAGGCCUAAUACAUGCAAGUCGAACGGUGUAUCAAUACACAGUGGCGCACGGGUGCGUAACACGUAUGCAACCUACCUUACAUUGGGGGAUAGCCUUUCGAAAGGGAGAUUAAUACCGCAUAAGACAGUAACUAGGCAUCUAGUAGCUGUUAAAGAUUUAUCGAUGUAAGCUGGGCAUGCGUCCAAUUAGUUAGUUGGCGAGGUAAUGGCUCACCAAGACGAUGAUUGGUAGGGGAACUGAGAGGUCAAUCCCCCACACAGGCACUGAGAUACCGGCCAGACUCCGACGGGAGGCAGCAGUAGGGAAUAUUGGGCAAUGGGCACAAGCCUGACCCAGCCAUGCCGCGUGCAGGAAGAAGGCGUUAUGCGUUGUAAACUGCUUUUAUACAGGAAGAAACGACCCUUGCGAGGGGCAUUGACGGUACUGUAUGAAUAAGCACCGGCUAACUCCGUGCCAGCCGCCGCAGUAAGAC
rnacentral:rRNA from 1 species